UGAGGAAUAUUGGUCAAUGGACGCAAGUCUGAACCAGCCAUGCCGCGUGCAGGAAGAAGGUGCUAUGCAUUGUAAACUGCUUUUAUACGGGGUAGUUACAGAUACGUGUAUCUGGUUGAAAGUACCGUAUGAAUAAGGAUCGGCUAACUCCGUGCCAGCAGCCGCGGUAAUACGGAGGAUCCGAGCGUUAUCCGGAUUUAUUGGGUUUAACGGGUGCGUAGGCGGUCAGGUAAGUUAGAGGUGAAAGCUCGAUGCUCAACAUCGAAACUGCCUCUGAUACUGUCUGACUAGAGUGUAGUUGCGGAAGGCGGAAUGUGUGGUGUAGCGGUGAAAUGCUUAGAUAUCACACAGAACACCGAUUGCGAAGGCAGCUUUCCAAGCUAUUACUGACGCUGAGGCACGAAAGCGUGGGGGAGCAAACAGGAUUAGAUACC
rnacentral:rRNA from 1 species